GUCUGCUUCGGCAGCGCAUAUGCUAAAAUUGGAACAGUAAAGGGGAGAUUAGCUCGGCUCCCAUGAAAGGAUAAAAUGCAAAUCUGUAAAGUGUUCCACAUUUUU